CUAGCUGGUGGGUCCUAUCCCGUUGUAAAAGCUCGUCUGGGAUCCGGCUAUGAAAAAGCUCGGCUGAAGUCUACCUGUAAUGGAAGUUUGGAAGAAAUGUGCUUACAGUAGGGGCUCGAAUGGAGUUUGCUCACAGUAGAGAUCCAGAGCAGACCACCUGCUGUAGGAGUUCGGAGUAGACCGCUCGUAGUAGAAGUUCGGAGUAGACCAUUUGUAGUAGAAGUUCGGCCCUCG
rnacentral:lncRNA from 1 species